rnacentral:lncRNA from 1 species
CGCAUACCUGUUUUGCAAUCCAAUCUCUUCUCGCCGUCUCUGUGAACCAACCAGCAAACGGGAUCGUUUCUCAAGCAUAAUGGGGGCCAAUCACAGCCGUGAAGACCUGGAUCUCUCAGACUCCGACUCCGACUCCGAAUCACAAACCCCAGAAGCCCACCGAGAGGAAGACGAAGACAACUUCGAAGACGCUAAAACGCCGUCGUCCUUCGAGCCCAAAACCCCAUCUUCUUUGGAUCAUGUUGAAGCCAAGCUCAAAGCUCUCAAGCUCAAGUACAACAACGACAACUCUAGCAAAGUGUCCGACCCGACCCGUAAGAACGCCGUCAAACUCUUCAUCCACGUCGGCGGCAACACGUCUAAUUCCAAAUGGGCUGUCGCUGAAAAAUCUGCCACUUAUUGCUUUGUCAAAACCCACAGUGAAAAUGGCUCGGACGAAGAAGAGGAUGAAGAAUGCGAAGAGAAUUCCUGGUGGAUUUUGAAAAUUGGGUCAAAAAUCCGGGUCAAGAUUGAUCAGAAUUUGCAAUUGAAGGCGAUUAAGGAUCAGAGGCGGGUUGACUUUGUGGCUAAUGGGGUUUGGGCUGUGAAGUUUUAUAGUGAAGAAGAUUAUAACUCAUUUUUUGACAAAUUUCAAGACUAUUUGUUCGAGAAUACUUAUGGGUACGAAGCUAAUGAUGAGAAUAAGGUUAAGGUUUAUGGGAAGGAUUUUAUCGGUUGGGCAAAGCCUGAAAAAGCUGAUGAUUCGAUGUGGGAUGACGCAGAAGAUAGUUUCUUUAAGACCCCUCAAUCAGCUUUGAAAACUCCAUUGAGGGAUAGAAAUGAUUUGACAGAGGAGUUUGAGGAGGCAGCUCCCAAUUGUGGGGCUAUUCAGAGUUUGGCAUUGGGUGCUUUGGAUAAUAGUUUCUUAGUGAGCGAUACGGGGGUUCAGGUCGUGAGGAAUUAUAGUCAUGGGAUUCAAGGAAAAGGGGUCUAUGUGAAUUUUGACAAUGGAAGGUCUAAUGGGAGCUUUUCAAAUGGUAUAGCUCAUUCAACCCCUAGGAAAGCUGUGCUAAUGAGAGCUGAAACUAAUAUGCUUCUCAUGAGUCCAAUGACUGAUGGUAAGCCUCAUACAAGAGGGUUACAUCAGUUGGAUAUUGAGACAGGAAAGAUUGUCACUGAGUGGAAGUUUGGGAAGGAUGGAACUGAUAUCACAAUGAGGGACAUUACUAAUGAUAGUAAAGGAGCUCAAAUGGAUCCCACUGGCUCUACUUUUUUGGGAUUGGACGAUAACAGAUUGUGUAGGUGGGAUAUGCGUGAUCGAAAUGGUAUGGUGCAGAAUCUUGCAAAUGAAAGUACACCUGUAUUGAACUGGGCUCAAGGGCAUCAGUUUUCGAGAGGGACUAAUUUUAACUGCUUUGCAAGUACUGGUGAUGGAUCAAUCGUGGUUGGAUCACUUGAUGGGAAGAUUAGACUGUACUCUAUCAAUUCUAUGAGGCAGGCGAAGACUGCAUUUCCAGGGCUUGGUUCUCCAAUUACUCAUGUGGACGUGACCUUUGACGGGAAGUGGAUAUUAGGGACAACUGAUACCUAUUUGAUUCUCAUAUGCACUCUAUUCACUGACAAGGAUGGGAAGACCAAGACCGGUUUCUCUGGUCGUAUGGGGAAUAGGAUCUCAGCUCCAAGAUUGUUAAAGCUCACUCCUUUGGAUUCACACAUGGCAGGAGUGAACAACAAAUUUCGCAAGGCUCAAUUCUCUUGGGUAUUCCUUUUGAUUUUCUCCAUAUUGUGCUGCCUGCUUAGAUGAUUACUUUUGAGUCUUGGUUCAGAAAGAGUUAUUGUUUGCCUAAUUUGCUCAUAUAUGAUAGUAUAAGAGUGAACUGCUUAGUCCGCUCAAAAGCCUGUUGUUGCUUAUGUUUUACAUGGUAACUGUAUACUCCUAUUAUUAGCUUUUCCUUGCUUGUAGUUAAUUAUGCGAUAUUAUUACUCACGGAAACUAUUAAUUUGAAAAGUCAAUCACUUUCUCAUAUUAUUGAACUUGAAAUUCCAACUGUCAUAAUAGAUUAACAUGUUGUAGUUGCCUUGAUUUUUCAAUAUAUGCAUGGAUAGGAUCUUGAAUCUUCCGUUUUUGAGUUCAUGAAAAUUUUAAGAAGGUGAUGUUCAAGCUCUUUUGGGUAUGUCCAUUCAAUAGAGGUAAAAAAACAGAGAGAUAUAUGUUGGCUAUUCCAUUAAUCAUGUCUUCACUCUGUCUUACUUAUGUUUGCCUGUAAACAUAGUAUAAAUGUUAUGUCAUAUUUUGUGUACUUGCGAUCCGCAAUCUAAAAUGCAGUUGGCAAUAACAAUAUGGAGGCCAAUCCGCUAAUCGUGUCUUUACACUGUCUUAUUUAUGUUUAGCUCUGAAAAGGUGGUAUAAAACCUAUUGCAUAUUUUGUAUAGUUGCAAUGUAUAAUCUAAAAUGUAGUUGACAAGAAAAACUGAAAGGCAGUGAAAACGUUUGUCACUUUUUAGCUUUCUGUGAAGUUUACAUGAACAUUGUCUUUUCCUGGCAAUGUUAUAAUGUUAUUGUAGAUCAGAAUACUUCUGCUGCAAUCCUACUUUUUUAUUGUCUAAAGUUUCAAUGGAUGGAAACUGAUUUCCAGUUUUAAUGGAUGUAUGUUCCCAUGUAUUCAUACACACCACAUACAAUUGUUGUGCACAUUCUAUUUGUGUGAGAGAGGAACUAGAACUUUUGCCUGUGAAAUUGUUGUGCACAUUCUAUUCUUUUGCCUGUGAAAUUUGAUUACUCUUGAUAUCUGCUAUGAUCAAUCAACGCAAACUUGGUAUUUUGUAGUUUUAUUCCCUCAGAGUUUUUUUAACUUUAUCCUCAUAGUCUUUCUAAUAGUUAAGUAUACUUGUACAAGACUUAAGCUCAAUCAAUUAUGAAACCAAAUCAAUGAAAUGCAUUUAUGCUUCAAAGAAAGGUUAUUCCAAGAGUAUCAUGUGGAUAAAAUGAAGAUAUUGUGUGGGUAGUUGCAGGUCUAUUUUUGACUUUGACAUUAUCGAUAAAUAUAUAUUAAAAAGUUUUUGAUUAAAACUUUAAGUACUUUUUGGAUUAAAACUUUAAGCACUCCAUUUUCAGGUUAACUACUAAUCACGUGGUCUCUGUGAACCAACCAGCAAACGGGAUCGUUUCUCAAGCAUAAUGGGGGCCAAUCACAGCCGUGAAGACCUGGAUCUCUCAGACUCCGACUCCGACUCCGAAUCACAAACCCCAGAAGCCCACCGAGAGGAAGACGAAGACAACUUCGAAGACGCUAAAACGCCGUCGUCCUUCGAGCCCAAAACCCCAUCUU